UAGGGAAUCUUCGGCAAUGGGGGCAACCCUGACCGAGCAACGCCGCGUGAGUGAAGAAGGUUUUCGGAUCGUAAAGCUCUGUUGUAAGUCAAGAACGGGUGUGAGAGUGGAAAGUUCACACUGUGACGGUAGCUUACCAGAAAGGGACGGCUAACUACGUGCCAGCAGCCGCGGUAAUACGUAGGUCCCGAGCGUUGUCCGGAUUUAUUGGGCGUAAAGCGAGCGCAGGCGGUUUGAUAAGUCUGAAGUUAAAGGCUGUGGCUCAACCAUAGUUC
rnacentral:rRNA from 1 species